CCCUUAGAUGUUCUGGGCCGCACGCGCGCUACACUGUUCGACGCAGCGAGUCUUAACCUUGACCGAAAGGUUUGGGUAAUCUUCAGCAAAGUCGAACGUGAUGGGGAUCGAUCAUUGCAAUUAUUGAUCGUGAACGAGGAAUUCCUAGUAAGUGCAAGUCAUCAGCUUGCGCUGAUUACGUCCCCGCCCUUUGUACACACCGCCCGUCGCUACUACCGAUUGAAUGGUUUAGUGAGAUCUCUGGAUUGACGCUGGCUAGGGGGCGACCCUUGGCCAGACUGCUCGAGAAACUGCUCAAACUUGAUCAUUUAGAGGAAGUAAAAGUCGUAACA
rnacentral:rRNA from 1 species